GUGAAUCAUCAAAUCUUUGAACGCAAAUUGCACUCUCUGGUAUUCCGGAGAGUAUGCCUGUUUGAGGGUCAGUUUAAAUAAAAAUCGGUGUGGUUGCUGCCUUUUGUGGUGACGCACUGGGGGUGGGGCGUCUUUCCCUUGGGUUAGUGGACUAAAAAUUUUCAUUAUUUUUGAACGGUUUUUAAAAAAUUUAGG
rnacentral:misc_RNA from 1 species